UACGGAGGGGGCUAGCGUUGUUCGGAAUUACUGGGCGUAAAGCGCGCGUAGGCGGCUUUGCAAGUCGGGUGUGAAAUCCCCAGGCUUAACCUGGGAACUGCAUUCGAGACUGCAUUGCUAGAGUAUGGGAGAGGGAAGUGGAAUUUCCGGUGUAGCGGUGAAAUGCGCAGAUAUCAGGAGGAACACCGGUGGCGAAGGCGGGUCUCUGGGCCGAUACUGACGCUGAGGAGCGAAAGCGUGGGGAGCGAACAGG
rnacentral:rRNA from 1 species